CUAGGAGAGAAUUCAUAAUUAUGAAUCGCCGAAGAGGCAAGCUGAAAAGACCGUGUAAGCUUUUUAGUGAAACUUUCAGGCAAAAGGAUCGGGAA
rnacentral:ncRNA from 1 species